rnacentral:rRNA from 1 species
UACAGAGGUCUCAAGCGUUGUUCGGAUUCAUUGGGCGUAAAGGGCGCGUAGGCGGGUUCGCAAGUCAGGGGUGAAAUCUUUCAGCUUAACUGGAAAACAGCCCCUGAUACUGCGAGUCUCGAGGGAGGUAGGGGCAUGUGGAACUUCCGGUGGAGCGGUGAAAUGCGUAGAUAUCGGAAGGAACGCCGGUGGCGAAAGCGACGUGCUGGACCUCUUCUGACGCUGAGGCGCGAAAGCUAGGGGAGCAAACGGG